rfam:Chlorocebus sabaeus isolate 1994-021 chromosome 23, whole genome shotgun sequence.
GCCGGGCGUGGUGGCUCAAGCCUGUAAUCCCAGCACUUUGGGAGGCCGAGACGGGCGGAUCACGAGGUCAGGAGAUCGAGACCAUCCUGGCUAACACGGUGAACCCCCGUCUCUACUAAAAAUACAAAAAACAAGCCGGGNNNNNNNNNNCCCGGCUUGUUUUUUGUAUUUUUAGUAGAGACGGGGGUUCACCGGGUUAGCCAGGAUGGUCUCGAUCUCCUGACCUCGUGAUCCGCCCGUCUCGG